ACAGUAUAAUGUAACGUGGAGACAGUAUAAUGUAACGUGGAGACAGUAUAAUGUAAUGUGGAGACAGUAUAAUGUAACGUGGAGACAGUAUAAUGUAAUGUGGAGACAGUAUAAUGUAAUGUGGAGACAGUAUAAUGUAAUGUGGAGACAGUAUAAUGUAAUGUGGAGACAGUAUAAUGUAAUGUGGAGACAGUAUAAUGUAACGUGGAGACAGUAUAAUGUAAUGUGGAGACAGUAUAAUGUAAUGUGGAGACAGUAUAAUGUAAUGUGGAGACAGUAUAAUGUAAUGUGGAGACAGUAUAAUGUAAUGUGGAGACAGUAUAAUGUAAUGUGGAGACAGUAUAAUGUAACGUGGAGACAGUAUAAUGUAAUGUGGAGACAGUAUAAUGUAAUGUGGAGACAGUAUGAGGUGUGUCUUACCUUGCGUAAAUUAGGGUUUUAUUAUCUGUUUCAUUCCAGGAGUUGUCCAUUCAAUAUAGCCUUUUGACUGUAAGACGGUAAGCAUCUGGUCAUGUAUAUACAGAUAUCUGAUAGUAUUUGCUGUUGAUCACGUCAUUUUACUGUUUGGAAAGUGUGUCAGUCCUUAAAUGAGGGUCAGUGAGUCGGCAGCAAAAUCUGAUCUGAUCUCUUCUGAUCUGAUCUAUUUUCCACCGUGUCUUAAUUAUUAUUAUUAUUAUUAGGGUGGCAGGUAGCCUAGUGGUUAGAGCAGGUAGCCUAGUGGUUAGAGGCAGGUAGCCUAGUGGUUAGAGGCAGGUAGCCUAGUGGUUAGACCCGGUAGCCUAGUGGUUAGACCCGGUAGCCUAGUGGUUAGAGCAGGUAGCCUAGUGGUUAGAGCAGGUAGCCUAGUGGUUAGAGCAGGUAGCCUAGUGGUUAGAGGAGGUAGCCUAGUGGUUAGAGCAGGUAGCCUAGUGGUUAGAGGCAGGUAGCCUAGUGGUUAGAGCAGGUAGCCUAGUGGUUAGAGGAGGUAGCCUAGUGGUUAGAGCAGGUAGCCUAGUGGUUAGAGCAGGUAGCCUAGUGGUUAGAGCAGGUAGCCUAGUGGUUAGAGCAGGUAGCCUAGUGGUUAGAGGAGGUAGCCUAGUGGUUAGAGCAGGUAGCCUAGUGGUUAGAGCAGGUAGCCUAGUGGUUAGAGCAGGUAGCCUAGUGGUUAGACCCGGUAGCCUAGUGGUUAGAGCAGGUAGCCUAGUGGUUAGACCCGGUAGCCUAGUGGUUAGAGCAGGUAGCCUAGUGGUUAGACCCGGUAGCCUAGUGGUUAGAGGCAGGUAGCCUAGUGGUUAGAGGCAGGUAGCCUAGUGGUUAGAGCAGGUAGCCUAGUGGUUAGAGGAGGCAGGUAGCCUAGUGGUUAGAGGCAGGUAGCCUAGUGGUUAGAGGCAGGUAGCCUAGUGGUUAGAGGAGGCAGGUAGCCUAGUGGUUAGAGGAGGCAGGUAGCCUAGUGGUUAGAGGAGGCAGGUAGCCUAGUGGUUAGAGGAGGCAGGUAGCCUAGUGGUUAGAGGAGGCAGGUAACCUAGUGGUUAGAGGAGGCAGGUAACCUAGUGGUUAGUGUUGGACUUGUAACCAAAAGGUUGCCAGAUCAAAUCCCCGAGCUGACAAGGUACAAAUCUGUUGUUCUGCCCCUGUUCCUCGGCCGUCAUUGUAAAAAGGAAUUUAUUCUUAACUGACUUGCCGAGUUAAUACGAUCUAAAGUCAAUAAGAUGACAAAGGAGGGUCAUGAUGAUGAUGACCACAUCACCUGUUUAAGCCCUCUGCCUUUACUUGGAGCUGAAAAUAAAUGGGCCACGAAGAUGACCCUACUCUGAUGUGACUCAAACUGAACGUUCUAGAUUAGAACAGGAGUUAUGCUUUGUGAUCAUAUUACAUUACUUCUAUGGCCACGAAGAUGACCCUACUCUGAUGUGACUCAAACUGAACGUUCUAGAUUAGAACAGGAGUUAUGCUUUGUGAUCAUAUUACAUUACUUCUAUGGCCAGUUUCCCAGACACAGAUUAAUUUAGCCUGGAACUUAAUUUUUUUUGGUUAUUUUUAAGUAUUUCAAUUGAGAUUAGUUAGUCCAGAACUCACGUUACAUUACUAAAUCUAACUGAGGAACCAACCCGACUGUUUCUACUAUUGCUACAUUAAAAUACAUUAAAAAAAAUAUAUAUAUUCUUCAAAUCAAAUCCAAUUUUAUUUAUAAAGCCCUUCGUACAUUAGCUGAUAUCUCAAAGUGCUGUACAGAAACCCAACCUAAAACCCCCAAACAGCAAGCAAUCCUGGCACGGUGGAAAGACAAUUAACCAUGAACACACACACACACACACACACACACACACACACACACACACACACACACACACACACACACACACACACACACACACACACACUGAACACAGGAACGCAGGCUGAACACAGGAACACAGGCUGAACACAGGAACACAGGCUGAACACAGGAACACAGGCUGAACACAGGCUGAACACAGGAACACAGGCUGAACACAGGCUGAACACAGGCUGAACACAGGCUGAACACAGGAACACACACAGGCUGAACACAGGAACACACACAGGCUGAACACAGGAACACAGGCUGAACACAGG